GGUGACGUAUUCCUGUUGACAUG
rnacentral:miRNA from 1 species